rnacentral:rRNA from 1 species
CCUACGGGAGGCUGCAGUGAGGAAUAUUGGUCAAUGGCCGGAAGGCUGAACCAGCCAAGCCGCGUGAAGGACGAAGGUGCCAAGCAUUGUAAACUUCUUUUGUCAAGGGAAAAAAUCAGGCUCAAGAGCCUGACCGAGGGUACUUGAAGAAAAAGCAUCGGCUAACUCCGUGCCAGCAGCCGGGGUAAUAAGGAGGAUGCGGUCUUUAUCCGGAUUUAGUGGGUUUAAAGGGGUCGUAGGCGGGCUGUUAAGUCAGCGGUAAAAGCCCGGGGCGCAACCCCGGCGAGCCGUUGAAACUGGCUGUCUUGAGAUGUCGAGAGGUAUGCGGAAUGCGCAGUGUAGCGGUGAAAUGCUUAGAUAUUGCGCAGAACUCCGAUUGCGAAGGCAGCAUACCGGCGGCGAUCUGACGCUGAGGCACGAAAGCGUGGGUAUCGAACAGGAUUAGAUACCCUGGUAGUC